AUUGAACGCUGGAGGCAGGCCUAACACAUGCAAGUCGAGCGAGCGGCGGACGGGUGAGUAAUGUCUGGGAACCAGCCUGAUGGAGAGGGAUAACUACUGGAAACGGUAGCUAAUACCGCAUCCCAUCAGAUGUGCCCAGAUGGGAUUAGAUAGUAGGUGGGGUAAUGGCUCACCUAGGCGACGAACCCUAGCUGGUCUGAGAGGAUGACCAGCCACACUGGAACUGAGACACGGUCCAGCCUCCUACGGGAGGCAGCAGUGGGGAAUAUUGCACAAUGGGCGCAAGCCUGAUGCAGCCAUGCCGCGUGUAUGAAGAAGGCCUUCGGGUUGUAAAGUACUUUCAGCGAGGAGGCGUUACUCGCAGAAGAAGCACCGGCUAACUCCGUGCCAGCAGCCGCGGUAAUUC
rnacentral:rRNA from 1 species